ACCUCCGUACGGGAGGCAGCAGGUGGGGAAUAUUGNACAAGGGCGCAAGCCUGAUGCAGCCAUGCCGCGUGUGUGAAGAAGGCCUUCGGGUUGUAAAGCACUUUCAGUUGUGAGGAAGGUGGUGUCGUUAAUAGCUGCAUUAUUUGACGUUAGCGACAGAAGAAGCACCGGCUAACUCCGUGCCAGCAGCCGCGGUAAUACGGAGGGUGCGAGCGUUAUCGGAAUUACUGGGCGUAAAGCGCAUGCAGGUGGUUUGUUAAGUCAGAUGUGAAAGCCCGGGGCUCAACCUCGGAAUUGCAUUUGAAACUGGCAGACUAGAGUACUGUAGAGGGGGGUAGAAUUUCAGGUGUAGCGGUGAAAUGCGUAGAGAUCUGAAGGAAU
rnacentral:rRNA from 1 species